rnacentral:rRNA from 1 species
AUUGAACGCUGGCGGAAUGCUUUACACAUGCAAGUCGAACGGCAGCACGGGGCAACCUGGUGGCGAGUGGCGAACGGGUGAGUAAUACAUCGGAACGUGCCCAAUCGUGGGGGAUAACGUAGCGAAAGUUACGCUAAUACCGCAUACGAUCUACGGAUGAAAGCGGGGGAUCGUAAGACCUCGCGCGAAUGGAGCGGCCGAUGUCAGAUUAGGUAGUUGGUGGGGUAAAGGCUCACCAAGCCGACGAUCUGUAGCUGGUCUGAGAGGAGGACCAGCCACACUGGGACUGAGACACGGCCCAGACUCCUACGGGAGGCAGCAGUGGGGAAUUUUGGACAAUGGGCGCAAGCCUGAUCCAGCCAUUCCGCGUGCAGGAUGAAGGCCUUCGGGUUGUAAACUGCUUUUGUACGGAACGAAACGGUUCUCUCUAAUACAGGGGGCUAAUGACGGUACCGUAAGAAUAAGCACCGGCUAACUACGUGCCAGCCGCCGCCGUAAAAC